rnacentral:lncRNA from 1 species
CGGCAUCAGUACUAUCAUUAUCGCAUACAACCACACUAAGCACCAUCACCACCAUGCACAACUUUCCAUGCUUCUGCAUGCAGCUUAUCACUUCUAAUUUUAAAUAUGAAUUUGUAAAUUGACAUAAUUUUCAUUCUUUUUAAUUAAUCAUGUGCCUAUUUGGAUUUUGAGCAGUUCAGAUUAUCAAAGAUUUUAAUUCAACUUUUUUAAACUCUGGAAAUCAGUAAUAAUUUAGCCAUCAAAGUUUUCACUAGUAUGUUUUUUUUAGGUCUAUAUCUUCAUUUUAUCAAACAGCAGCUUAUUGUGGAAGAAGGUAGCAAGCAGAUUUACAGUUCAAUAUGUCAAGAGAUGGUAUAGAUAAUUAAUCAGGAAAGCCAGAACCCAAAAAAAAAAAAAAGGUAGUUGAAGAUAGAACAGAUGGGAGGAUCACAGACCAUCAUAUGGAGUAUCUGGAGCACGACAUACGCAUUCCUUGAUAUCACUUGCAAUUACUCUCUGUUGCAAAAGAACAAUCAGCUCUGUAAAACAGAUGUACCCUCCCCAAGUAACAUCAUGAUCGAUAACAAACCUGACAGUAUAGUUUGUAGCUUUCCGUAGUAUUUGGAAAAUCAAGAUCUACUAUCUGUGAGAUUUGGAAAAAUCAAAGAAAAAAUGUCAAACAAAAUGCAGAUUACGUAAGAACAAAUGAACAAUGAAUAUAAUUACUAUAACAAAGGACAGUAUUCAAUUAAGUACACACCACGUAAAAGGAAACAAGUAAACAGCAGUUUCUUAAAGCAACAAGGACAAAUGAAUAAGACUCAAGAACAAAGUUAUUCAUCAGUAGAACUUUUAAAGAACUUUUAAAACUUCAAAGAACAGAGAGAGGUGUGGGAACAUUUAAUAAACUUGUUGAUGAAAUAAUUUCCAAGAAGCAACAGAUACAGCUCAAUAAAAGAUCAUAGUGUUUGUGAACCAAAAUGCAGCACUUAAACUGACUUCAAUACUCCAUCAUUUUACACGAACUUGAUAAUGCAUUUAUUUCCAGCUUUUAAUAAUCUAAAUGUGCUUGCUAAUAAAUCAUAAUUAAACUUGUAAAUAAAAAUUUUAAAAAAGGGGUGAACAAUCAUUUAAAUAAUUCAUUUCUUAAUAUCAGACACUGAGUGUUGAGAUUCGUUCUUUCUCUAAACAGUUGUUCACAUCACUACCAGUACCAAUCAAUAAUAGCACCUACCCACAUCACCAACAUCCACCGCAAAACCAGUGUUGCUACUACCACCACAAUCACAGCUAAUAUAUAACAAUGGCCAUGCAUUAAAAACCAUCAGCACCUCUACCGCCGUGCAAUAAUCAUGAUCAUCUACCACUAGAAAAAUAUCAUUACCACCAACCACUAUCUCCACAUAACUACUACAUUAUUACCGCCACAAAAGAACCACAAUCGGCAUCAGUACUAUCAUUAUCGCAUACAACCACACUAAGCACCAUCACCACCAUGCACAACUUUCCAUGCUUCUGCAUGCAGCUUAUCACUUCUAAUUUUAAAUAUGAAUUUGUAAAUUGACAUAAUUUUCAUUCUUUUUAAUUAAUCAUGUGCCUAUUUGGAUUUUGAGCAGUUCAGAUUAUCAAAGAUUUUAAUUCAACUUUUUUAAACUCUGGAAAUCAGUAAUAAUUUAGCCAUCAAAGUUUUCACUAGUAUGUUUUUUUUAGGUCUAUAUCUUCAUUUUAUCAAACAGCAGCUUAUUGUGGAAGAAGGUAGCAAGCAGAUUUACAGUUCAAUAUGUCAAGAGAUGGUAUAGAUAAUUAAUCAGGAAAGCCAGAAC